rnacentral:rRNA from 1 species
CCUACGGGAGGCAGCAGUGGGGAAUAUUGCACAAUGGGGGAAACCCUGAUGCAGCAACGCCGCGUGAGUGAUGAAGUAUCUCUGUAUUUAAAGCUCUAUCAGUAGGGACGUAAAUUACAGUACCUUACUAAGUCUCCCCGGCUAACUUCGUUCCAGCAGCCGCGGUAAUACGGAGGGGGCAAGCGUUAUCCGGAUUUACUGGGUGUAAUGGGAGCGUAGACUGCUGCGGAAGUCAGAAGUGAAAGCCCGGGGCUCAACCGCGGGACUUCUUUUGAAACUGUGGAGCUAGAGUGCAGGAGAGGUAAGUGGAAUUCCUGGUGUAGCGGUGAAAUGCGUAGAUAGUAGGAGGAACACCGGUGGCGAAGGCGGCUUACUGGACUGUAACUGACGUUGAGGCUCGAAAGCGUGGGGAGCAAACAGGAUUAGAUACCCCUGUAGUC